UACGGAGGGUGCAAGCGUUAUCCGGAUUCACUGGGUUUAAAGGGUGCGUAGGCGGGCAGGUAAGUCCGUGGUGAAAUCUCUGAGCUUAACUCAGAAACUGCCAUGGAUACUAUUUGUCUUGAAUAUUGUGGAGGUAAGCGGAAUAUGUCAUGUAGCGGUGAAAUGCUUAGAUAUGACAUAGAACACCAAUUGCGAAGGCAGC
rnacentral:rRNA from 1 species